rnacentral:tRNA from 1 species
GGAGAGAUCGCAUAGCGGCUUAGUGCGCUACCUUGGAAAGGUAGUAGACCCAAUCGGGUCUCGGGGGUUCGAAUCCCCCUCUCUCCGCCA